AUGAAACAGAGAGAAAUUUGUAUUCAAUUCAAAGAGAAAUGUGAAGACUUUGGAUACAAGUCAAUGCAAGAGGAAAAAAGCUUCAUUGAUGAAAAUUUGUUUUACAAGUUUUGUACAAUAGUACAAACUACAAAUCAAAAGUUCAAGUACACGUUGUUGCCACACAAGUUAUUACAAAAACAUAAGGUUACAAGCCAAUGA